GAUGAACGCUGGCGAAAUGCUUUACACAUGCAAGUCGUACGAAAGCUUUUAGCUUAAGUGGCGGACGGGUGAGUAAUACGUAAGAAUUUGCCUUUAGGAGGGGGAUAACAGCUGGAAACGGUUGCUAAUACCCCAUAUGCUUUUAAGUGAAAUGGGUUUCCGCCUAAAGAAAAGCUUACGGCUGAUUAGCUUGUUGGUAAGGUAAUGGCUUACCAAGGCGACAAUCAGUAUCUGGUUUGAGAGGAUGAUCAGACACACUGGAACUGAGACACGGCCCAGACUCCUACGGGAGGCAGCAGUGGGGAAUCUUAGACAAUGGGGCAACCCUGAUCUAGCCAUGCCGCGUGAGUGACGAAGGCCCUAGGGUCGUAAAGCUCUUUCGCCAGGGAUGAUAAUGACAGUACCUGGUAAAGAAACCCCGGCUAACUCCGU
rnacentral:rRNA from 1 species